rnacentral:rRNA from 1 species
CCUACGGGUGGCUGCAGUGGGGAAUAUUGGGCAAUGGGCGCAAGCCUGACCCAGCAACGCCGCGUGAAGGAAGAAGGCUUUCGGGUUGUAAACUUCUUUUCUGAGGGACGAAGAAAGUGACGGUACCUCAGGAAUAAGCCACGGCUAACUACGUGCCAUCAGCCGAGGUAAUACGAAGGUGGCAGGCGUUAUCCGGAUUUAUUGGGUGUAAAGGGCGUGUAGGGGGGAAAGCAAGUCAGAUGGGAAAUCUCAGGGCUCAACCCUGAGCCUGCAUUUGAAACUGUUUUUCUUGAGUGCUGGGGAGGCAGUCGGAAUUCGGUGUGUAGCGGUGAAAUGCGUAGAUAUACGGAGGAACACCAGUGGCGAAGGCGGAUUGCUGGACAGUAACUGACGCUGAGGCGCGAAAGCGUGGGGAGCAAACAGGAUUAGAUACCCUAGUAGUC